rnacentral:rRNA from 1 species
GAUGAACGCUGGCGGCGUGCCUAAUACAUGCAAGUCGAGCGAACAGACGAGGAGCUUGCUCCUCUUACGUGCGCGCCGGCCGGGUGCGUACCACGUGGAUAACCUACCUCUAAGACUGGGAUAACUUCGGGAAACCGGAGCUAAUACCGGAUAAUAUAUUGAACCGCAUGGUUCAAUAGUGAAAGACGGUUUUGCUGUCACUUAUAGAUGGAUCCGCGCCGCAUUAGCUAGUUGGUAAGGUAACGGCUUACCAAGGCAACGAUGCGUAGCCGACCUGAGAGGGUGAUCGGCCACACUGUGACGGAGACAAGGGCCAGACGACUAAGGGAGGAAGCAGUAGGGAAUCUUCCGCAAUGGGCGAAAGCUUGACGGAGCAACGCCGCGUGAGUGAUGAAGGUCUUCGGAUCGUAAAACUCUGUUAUUAGGGAAGAACAAAUGUGUAAGUAACUAUGCACGUCUUGACGGUACCUAAUCAGAAAGCCACGGCUAACUACGUG